rnacentral:rRNA from 1 species
UACGUAGGGGGCUAGCGUUGUCCGGAAUCAUUGGGCGUAAAGAGCGUGUAGGCGGCCCGGUAAGUCCGCUGUGAAAGUCGGGGGCUCAACCCUCGGAUGCCGGUGGAUACUGUCGGGCCCGAGUACGGAAGAGGCGAGUGGAAUUCCUGGUGUAGCGGUGAAAUGCGCAGAUAUCAGGAGGAACACCUAUUGCGAAGGCAGCUCGCUGGGACGUUACUGACGCUGAGACGCGAAAGCGUGGGGAGCAAACAGG